CCUACGGGCGGCAGCAGUAAGGAAUAUUGGUCAAUGGACGAGAGUCUGAACCAGCCAAGUAGCGUGAAGGAUGACUGCCCUAUGGGUUGUAAACUUCUUUUAUAUGGGAAUAAAAUGUUCCACGUGUGGGAUUUUGUAUGUACCAUAUGAAUAAGGAUCGGCUAACUCCGUGCCAGCAGCCGCGGUAAUACGGAGGAUCCGAGCGUUAUCCGGAUUUAUUGGGUUUAAAGGGAGCGUAGGUGGAUUGUUAAGUCAGUUGUGAAAGUUUGCGGCUCAACCGUAAAAUUGCAGUUGAAACUGGCAGUCUUGAGUACAGUAGAGGUGGGCGGAAUUCGUGGUGUAGCGGUGAAAUGCUUAGAUAUCACGAAGAACUCCGAUUGCGAAGGCAGUUCACUGGACUGCAACUGACACUGAGGCUCGAAAGUGUGGGUAUCAAACAGGAUUAGAGACCCCUGUAGUC
rnacentral:rRNA from 1 species